rnacentral:rRNA from 1 species
UGGGGACUAUUUGACAAUGGGCGAAAGCCUGAUCCAGCCAUGCCGCGUGUGUGAAGAAGGUCUUCGGAUUGUAAAGCACUUUAAGUUGGGAGGAAGGGCAGUAAGCGAAUACCUUGCUGUUUUGACGUUACCGACAGAAUAAGCACCGGCUAACUCUGUGCCAGCAGCCGCGGUAAUACAGAGGGUGCAAGCGUUAAUCGGAAUUACUGGGCGUAAAGCGCGCGUAGGUGGUUCGUUAAGUUGAAUGUGAAAGCCCCGGGCUCAACCUGGGAACUGCAUCCAAAACUGGCGAGCUAGAGUAGGGCAGAGGGUGGUGGAAUUUCCUGUGUAGCGGUGAAAUGCGUAGAUAUAGGAAGGAACACCAGUGGCGAAGGCGACCACCUGGGCUCAUACUGACACUGAGGUGCGAAAGCGUGGGGAGCAAACAGG